GCCUUGGUCAGGAAAUAUAGCAGAAGAUGGAGGUGGGCAAGGUCAUCGAAGACUCUCUCCAGAAGCGUGGAAUAAGAAGGGACUGCGAUGUUUGUCAACUCAGCCUUGCCACAAAAUUUCACUUUCUGAGGAUGUUGUGGCUGAACAACAACAAGAUUAGAGAUCUGAGCUGCCGUUCCGUCAACUGUUGCUUGACUGAGCUUUACCUUCAAAAUAACAACAUCAAGUCUGUCUCAGGU